rnacentral:rRNA from 1 species
AUUGAACGCUGGCGGCACGCCUAACACAUGCAAGUCGAGCGGCAGCGCGAUAUGUAGCAAUACAUAUUGGCGGCGAGCGGCGGACGGGUGAGGAACACGUAGGAACCUACCCUCGAGUGGGGGAUAACCAAGGGAAACUUUGGCUAAUACCGCAUGAUUUCGAGAGAGCAAAGCUGCCGCAAGGUGGCGCUCGAGGAGGGGCCUGCGUCCGAUUAGCUAGUUGGUGAGGUAAGAGCUCACCAGGGCGAUGAUCGGUAACUGGUCUGAGAGGACGAACGGGCACACUGGGACUGAGACACGGCCCAGACUCCUACGGGAGGCGGCAGUGGGGAAUAUUGGACAAUGGGGGCAACCCUGAUCCAGCGAUGCCGCGUGAGUGAAGAAGGCCUUCGGGUCGUAAAGCUCUUUAGGUUGGGAAGAAGAGUGAUGGAGGAAAUGCUAUCACUUUGACGGUACCGACAGAAUAAGCACCGGCAAACUCUGUGCCAGCCGCCGCGGUAAGAC